rnacentral:rRNA from 1 species
GACGAACGCUGGCGGCGUGCCUAAUACAUGCAAGUAGAACGCUGAAGAGAGGAGCUUGCUCUUCUUGGAUGAGUUGCGAACGGGUGAGUAACGCGUAGGUAACCUGCCUUGUAGCGGGGGAUAACUAUUGGAAACGAUAGCUAAUACCGCAUAACAAUGGAUGACACAUGUCAUUUAUUGAAAGGGGCAAUUGCUCCACUACAAGAUGGACCUGCGUUGUAUUAGCUAGUAGGUGAGGUAAUGGCUCACCUAGGCGACGAUACAUAGCCGACCUGAGAGGGUGAUCGGCCACACUGGGACUGAGACACGGCCCAGACUCCUACGGGAGGCAGCAGUAGGGAAUCUUCGGCAAUGGGGGCAACCCCCGACGAGCAACGCCGCGUGAGUGAAGAAGGUUUUCGGAUCGUAAAGCUCUGUUGUUAGAGAAGAACGUGUGUGAGAGUGGAAAAGUUCG